CAUUUUGCACGUAGAAGUCCGCUCCCCAGAAGCUUUCGCAGAUUCACACUCUGUUCUCCGUCUGUUGCUGUGAACCCCUGUACUGACUGACCAGAGAUAUUGGCCUGAAUUAUGGAUGUGAAUAUGAGUUCAUUCUCUUGAAUGAAACAUCACCAUGCUCUGGUCGUUACACAACAGAUGUUAUCUGUCCAAGUAAAUAGUUUAAGUAUAACUACAGCAGGUGGGUUAUAGCACAUAGACAGGGCUGAUUGCAAGUGUGUGUUUUGAAUUUUAAAAGCUCGAUGUCUCACAGAUGUGUGUAAAUAUCUGCUUGCUGGCUGUCACACCAACACUGAUACAAGGUUCCAAACUGGGUGAAUUCUCAUUCAGUGUUGCAAUUCUGCCUGUUUUUAUUAAUCUUUGGCAGGACAUUUUAAGCACAUAAAGCUAAAAUUGCAAAGUUUAGCCAUCUGAGGCCUUUUUAACUGUCAAAAAUAAUAAAGGUUCAGUUGGUUGCUGGAUGCUCAGAUUUGCUGUUUUGUGAGAAUGAAGUGGCCAUUUUAAGGCAAAUCUAACCAUUCCCCCCAAAUCCCAUGCGAUCGCAACGUUGCUGUUUUCCGGGCUGCGCCGGCUUGUUUGGAGCCCAGACUGACUGACAGCUACAAAUCGGCGCAAGGAAGAUGAUGCCUCUUCAGUGCUUCGGACCAGAUGGUCGCGAUAAUUAACAUACUGCGGUUUCCAUCACAAGGGAAAUCACUGACAAGAGAAGAUGAGCGUCGUUACAGACGCCUGCCUCGUUAUGCAACAUCAGCAGCACUGCCUGAAGACCAAUGAUCUGCUGUUUCCAGGGUGAAUGAUGGACACUUUCGCUGGCAGUGUGCGAUUGGCCGGGGGCCAGGGCCAGUCAGUUUUCACAAAAUGGUUCCUGGGGGCAGCGUUUGUAGCAAGACACCCCUGUUGGUCAAGGCUGCGGGCUCCUUUAAGCCAAUGGAUCCAGCCGGAAUAAGCAAACAGAUGUCUGAGAGUGCGCCCACCACCCACCCCCAUCUCCCGUCUGCCAACGUACCCCGAAGCCCUGGAGGACAACGGCCAACGACGAGCAGAGACGUGAUACUCUCUGCACCAGCAGUCCAGCCUAUGAUGUUCUAACCGGGGGAGGGGGCUCACAAACGUUGUUUUGUUUAAAACAACACAAAACACAAAAUGCUGCACAAAAAGAAUAUUCAGAUUAAUCUUGGUGGAGGAGGGGGGACAAAACUGACUCCACCCUCUCCUUUGGAAGAGACAAGAU